AUUGAACGCUGGCGGCAGGCCUAACACAUGCAAGUCGAGCGGAUGAAGGGAGCUUGCUCCUGGAUUCAGCGGCGGACGGGUGAGUAAUGCCUAGGAAUCUGCCUGGUAGUGGGGGAUAACGUCCGGAAACGGGCGCUAAUACCGCACACGUCCUGAGGGAGAAAGCGGGGGAUCUUCGGACCUCACGCUAUCAGAUGAGCCUAGGUCGGAUUAGCUAGUUGGUGGGGUAAAGGCCUACCAAGGCGACGAUCCGUAACUGGUCUGAGAGGAUGAUCAGUCACACUGGAACUGAGACACGGUCCAGACUCCUACGGGAGGCAGCAGUGGGGAAUAUUGGACAAUGGGCGAAAGCCUGAUCCAGCCAUGCCGCGUGUGUGAAGAAGGUCUUCGGAUUGUAAAGCACUUUAAGUUGGGAGGAAGGGCAGUAAGUUAAUACCUUGCUGUUUUGACGUUACCAACAGAAUAAGCACCGGCUAACUUCGUG
rnacentral:rRNA from 1 species